rnacentral:rRNA from 1 species
AGCGAACGCUGGCGGCAGGCUUAACACAUGCAAGUCGAGCGGGCACUUUCGGGUGUCAGCGGCGGACGGGUGAGUAACGCGUGGGAACGUGCCCUCUGGUUCGGAAUAACUCAGGGAAACUUGAGCUAAUACCGGAUACGCCCUUUUGGGGAAAGGCUUGCUGCCGGAGGAUCGGCCCGCGUCUGAUUAGCUAGUUGGUGAGGUAACGGCUCACCAAGGCGACGAUCAGUAGCUGGUCUGAGAGGAUGAUCAGCCACACUGGGACUGAGACACGGCCCAGACUCCUACGGGAAGCAGCAGUAGGGAAUAUUGGGCGAUGGGCGCAAGCCUGAUCCAGCCGUGCCGCGUGAGUGAUGAAGGCCUUAGGGUUGUAAAGCUCUUUUAUCCGGGACGAUAAUGACGGUACCGGAGGAAUAAGCCCCGGCUAACUUCGUG